GAUGAACGCUAGCGAUAGGCCUAACACAUGCAAGUCGAGGGGCAUCACAUGAAGUAGCAAUACGGAUGGUGGCGACCGGCGCACGGGUGAGUAACACGUAUGCAACCUGCCUUCAACAAGGGGAUAACCCGUUGAAAGACGGACUAAUACCCUAUAACACAGGGGUCCCGCAUGGGGAUAUUUGUUAAAGGACAACCGGUUGAAGAUGGGCAUGCGUUCCAUUAGCUAGUUGGCGGGGUAAGGGCCCACCAAGGCAACGAUGGAUAGGGGAACUGAGAGGUUUAUCCCCCACACUGGUACUGAGACACGGACCAGACUCCUACGGGAGGCAGCAGUGAGGAAUAUUGGUCAAUGGACGCAAGUCUGAACCAGCCACGUCGCGUGAAGGAAGACGGCCCUACGGGUUGUAAACUUCUUUUAUACGGGAAUAAAGUGCCCCACGCGUGGGGUUUUGCAUGUACCGUAUGAAUAAGCAUCGGCUAACUCCGUGCCAGCAGCCGCGGUAAGU
rnacentral:rRNA from 1 species